rnacentral:rRNA from 1 species
GUGGGGAAUCUUCCGCAAUGGACGAAAGUCUGACGGAGCAACGCCGCGUGAGUGAAGAAGGUCUUCGGAUCGUAAAGCUCUGUUGUACGGGACGAAUGUUGAAGGCGUGAAUAAUGCCAUCAAAUGACGGUACUGUACGAGGAAGCCACGGCUAACUACGUGCCAGCAGCCGCGGUAAUACGUAGGUGGCGAGCGUUGUCCGGAAUUAUUGGGCGUAAAGGGAGCGCAGGUGGGAAGGUAAGUCUGUUUUAAAAGCGUCGGGCUCAACCCGAUGAGGGAACAGAAACUAUUUUUCUUGAGUGCAGGAGAGGAAAGCGGAAUUCCUAGUGUAGCGGUGAAAUGCGUAGAUAUUAGGAGGAACACCAGUGGCGAAGGCGGCUUUCUGGACUGUAACUGACACUGAGGCUCGAAAGCCAGGGGAGCGAACGGGAUUAGAAACCCCUGUAGUCC